UACGGGGGGAGCAAGCGUUGUUCGGAUUUACUGGGCGUAAAGGGCGCGUAGGCGGUCAGCACAAGUCAGUUGUGAAAUCUCCGGGCUUAACCCGGAAAGGUCAACUGAUACUGUGCGACUAGAGUGCGGAAGGGGCAACUGGAAUUCUCGGUGUAGCGGUGAAAUGCGCAGAUAUCAGGAGGAACACCAAUGGCGAAGGCAGCACUCUGGGACGUGACUGACGCUGAGACGCGAAAGCGUGGGGAGCAAACAGG
rnacentral:rRNA from 1 species